AUGGAAGGGCCAUCGCUCAACGGAUAAAAGGUACUCCGGGGAUAACAGGCUGAUACCGCCCAAGAGUUCAUAUCGACGGCGGUGUUUGGCACCUCGAUGUCGGCUCAUCACAUCCUGGGGCUGUAGCCGGUCCCAAGGGUAUGGCUGUUCGCCAUUUAAAGUGGUACGCGAGCUGGGUUUAGAACGUCGUGAGACAGUUCGGUCCCUAUCUGCCGUGGACGUUUGAGAUUUGAGAGGGGCUGCUCCUAGUACGAGAGGACCGGAGUGGACGAACCUCUGGUGUUCCGGUUGUCACGCCAGUGGCAUUGCCGGGUAGCUAUGUUCGGAAUAGAUAACCGCUGAAAGCAUCUAAGCGGGAAACUAGCCUCAAGAUGAGAUCUCACUGGGACCUUGAGUCCCCUGAAGGGCCGUCGAAGACUACGACGUUGAUAGGUUGGGUGUGUAAGCGCUGUGAGGCGUUGAGCUAACCAAUACUAAUUGCCCGUGAGGCUUGACCAUAUAACACCCAAGCAAUU
rnacentral:rRNA from 1 species